rnacentral:lncRNA from 1 species
UCUCAAUCUAGAGACAGGGUCGGAAAGCUCACCCCAAAAAGCAGACGCUUCCACAGGAGAGGAGAGGACAGAGGAUUAAGAGAUCUGACCCAACAAGCAAUCUGUGAACUUCAGCUGGACGACAUCACCAAAAGAACACACGAUUCCUUUUGCUUAGGUAGAAACUGCGUUUCAAAGCAACAGAAAGCAGCAAUUCUUAACACCGGUUGAGCACAGGCAUCACUUUCUGAUAGAGUCAAAUCAGAGCACCUACAGCACCACAGUUCUGUUCAAGGGAAGUCUAGAAACCAAAGCAAUUUCCAUCUUCAGGGCGCUUCAGCGCUUUGGCAUUCCCGCAAGUCUCCGGAGGUGCCCUAGUAACACAGUGCGUGUGAUGGAAACUGAGGCACAGGAAGCAGGAGAGGCGGGUUCGCAUGGAGGCUGUGGCUGCAGAAGCAGAGAAGCCAGGUCCUUUAAAUGUACCACUGAGCCAGCAAGAAGGUGAAGGAAAAGCCAAAAUCAAAAAGCCAGGAAUUCCUGAAGGCUUGGAAGAGAUGCAAGAGAGAAGUCUGCUGCGGAAGGCCUGCAUGCAACCUGGUGUCCUUAUGAAAAGAGGAAGCUUAAACCCACAGAGAAACACCAGGGGCAUGUGUACACUGAGGAAAGACCAUGCAAGGAGGCAGCAAGGUGUCUGCUAUCUGUAAGCCAAGGAGAGACCCCUCAACAGAAACCAGUCCUGCCGCCAUUUUGAUAUUGGACUUCCAUUCUCCAGAACUUCGAGAAAAUAGAUUUCUGUUGUCAGCCACUCAGACUGUGGUAGUUUGUUACACAGUCAUGGUUCAAACCAUGCAAACUAAUACACUAUAGUAAGGCAAAACAAUCACUUGGAUGAUAGGAAAUUAAGAGGACUUUAGGAAUAUCGAAGGUAACAAAUGGAAUAUACACAUGUACACACACACAUACACGCACGCACAUAUAUACCCAUACAUCCAUGUAUAUAAAGAGAAAAUGAAAUUAAAACAACGUC